ACAAACUUGGUCAUUUAGAGGAAGUAAAAGUCGUAACAAGGUUUCCGUAGGUGAACCUGCGGAAGGAUCAUUAUUGAAAAACCGAGGACCUGUCGGUCAGCCCCGCUCCACCUUGACGGGCGUGAGCGGGCUCCGGCGGGUUCGUCCAACCCCACAACCCUGUGCACCUUUGAGGACGGGACUGGCGCGAGCCGGACCUGGCCUUUCAUUACAAACCCUAUGUCGUAGAAUGUGUUGCGGGCUCUGCCCGUCUAACGUAAAACAACUUUCAACAACGGAUCUCUUGGCUCUCGCAUCGAUGAAGAACGCAGC
rnacentral:misc_RNA from 1 species